GUUGGAUAUGAAGGAGAGAUCUA
rnacentral:piRNA from 1 species